rnacentral:rRNA from 1 species
UACGUAUGGUGCAAGCGUUAUCCGGAUUUACUGGGUGUAAAGGGAGCGCAGGCGGUGCGGCAAGUCUGAUGUGAAAGCCCGGGGCUCAACCCCGGUACUGCAUUGGAAACUGCUGUGCUUGAGUGCCGGAGGGGUAAGCGGAAUUCCUAGUGUAGCGGUGAAAUGCGUAGAUAUUAGGAGGAACACCAGUGGCGAAGGCGGCUUACUGGACAGUAACUGACGCUGAGGCUCGAAAGCGUGGGGAGCAAACAGG